UUAAGCGACUAAGCGUACACGGUGGAUGCCCUGGCAGUCAGAGGCGAUGAAGGACGUGCUAAUCUGCGAUAAGCGUCGGUAAGGUGAUAUGAACCGUUAUAACCGGCGAUUUCCGAAUGGGGAAACCCAGUGUGUUUCGACACACUAUCAUUAACUGAAUCCAUAGGUUAAUGAGGCGAACCGGGGGAACUGAAACAUCUAAGUACCCCGAGGAAAAGAAAUCAACCGAGAUUCCCCCAGUAGCGGCGAGCGAACGGGGAGGAGCCCAGAGCCUGAAUCAGUGUGUGUGUUAGUGGAAGCGUCUGGAAAGGCGCGCGAUACAGGGUGACAGCCCCGUACACAAAAAUGCACAUACUGUGAGCUCGAUGAGUAGGGCGGGACACGUGGUAUCCUGUCUGAAUAUGGGGGGACCAUCCUCCAAGGCUAAAUACUCCUGACUGACCGAUAGUGAACCAGUACCGUGAGGGAAAGGCGAAAAGAACCCCGGCGAGGGGAGUGAAAAAGAACCUGAAACCGUGUACGUACAAGCAGUGGGAGCACGCUUCGGCGUGUGACUGCGUACCUUUUGUAUAAUGGGUCAGCGACUUAUAUUCUGUAGCAAGGUUAACCGAAUAGGGGAGCCGAAGGGAAACCGAGUCUUAACUGGGCGUUAAGUUGCAGGGUAUAGACCCGAAACCCGGUGAUCUAGCCAUGGGCAGGUUGAAGGUUGGGUAACACUAACUGGAGGACCGAACCGACUAAUGUUGAAAAAUUAGCGGAUGACUUGUGGCUGGGGGUGAAAGGCCAAUCAAACCGGGAGAUAGCUGGUUCUCCCCGAAAGCUAUUUAGGUAGCGCCUCGUGAAUUCAUCUCCGGGGGUAGAGCACUGUUUCGGCAAGGGGGUCAUCCCGACUUACCAACCCGAUGCAAACUGCGAAUACCGGAGAAUGUUAUCACGGGAGACACACGGCGGGUGCUAACGUCCGUCGUGAAGAGGGAAACAACCCAGACCGCCAGCUAAGGUCCCAAAGUCAUGGUUAAGUGGGAAACGAUGUGGGAAGGCCCAGACAGCCAGGAUGUUGGCUUAGAAGCAGCCAUCAUUUAAAGAAAGCGUAAUAGCUCACUGGUCGAGUCGGCCUGCGCGGAAGAUGUAACGGGGCUAAACCAUGCACCGAAGCUGCGGCAGCGACGCUUAUGCGUUGUUGGGUAGGGGAGCGUUCUGUAAGCCUGCGAAGGUGUACUGUGAGGUAUGCUGGAGGUAUCAGAAGUGCGAAUGCUGACAUAAGUAACGAUAAAGCGGGUGAAAAGCCCGCUCGCCGGAAGACCAAGGGUUCCUGUCCAACGUUAAUCGGGGCAGGGUGAGUCGACCCCUAAGGCGAGGCCGAAAGGCGUAGUCGAUGGGAAACAGGUUAAUAUUCCUGUACUUGGUGUUACUGCGAAGGGGGGACGGAGAAGGCUAUGUUGGCCGGGCGACGGUUGUCCCGGUUUAAGCGUGUAGGCUGGUUUUCCAGGCAAAUCCGGAAAAUCAAGGCUGAGGCGUGAUGACGAGGCACUACGGUGCUGAAGUAACAAAUGCCCUGCUUCCAGGAAAAGCCUCUAAGCAUCAGGUAACAUCAAAUCGUACCCCAAACCGACACAGGUGGUCAGGUAGAGAAUACCAAGGCGCUUGAGAGAACUCGGGUGAAGGAACUAGGCAAAAUGGUGCCGUAACUUCGGGAGAAGGCACGCUGAUAUGUAGGUGAAGCGACUUGCUCGUGGAGCUGAAAUCAGUCGAAGAUACCAGCUGGCUGCAACUGUUUAUUAAAAACACAGCACUGUGCAAACACGAAAGUGGACGUAUACGGUGUGACGCCUGCCCGGUGCCGGAAGGUUAAUUGAUGGGGUUAGCGGUAACGCGAAGCUCUUGAUCGAAGCCCCGGUAAACGGCGGCCGUAACUAUAACGGUCCUAAGGUAGCGAAAUUCCUUGUCGGGUAAGUUCCGACCUGCACGAAUGGCGUAAUGAUGGCCAGGCUGUCUCCACCCGAGACUCAGUGAAAUUGAACUCGCUGUGAAGAUGCAGUGUACCCGCGGCAAGACGGAAAGACCCCGUGAACCUUUACUAUAGCUUGACACUGAACAUUGAGCCUUGAUGUGUAGGAUAGGUGGGAGGCUUUGAAGUGUGGACGCCAGUCUGCAUGGAGCCGACCUUGAAAUACCACCCUUUAAUGUUUGAUGUUCUAACGUUGGCCCCUAAUCGGGGUUGCGGACAGUGUCUGGUGGGUAGUUUGACUGGGGCGGUCUCCUCCUAAAGAGUAACGGAGGAGCACGAAGGUUGGCUAAUCCUGGUCGGACAUCAGGAGGUUAGUGCAAUGGCAUAAGCCAGCUUGACUGCGAGCGUGACGGCGCGAGCAGGUGCGAAAGCAGGUCAUAGUGAUCCGGUGGUUCUGAAUGGAAGGGCCAUCGCUCAACGGAUAAAAGGUACUCCGGGGAUAACAGGCUGAUACCGCCCAAGAGUUCAUAUCGACGGCGGUGUUUGGCACCUCGAUGUCGGCUCAUCACAUCCUGGGGCUGAAGUAGGUCCCAAGGGUAUGGCUGUUCGCCAUUUAAAGUGGUACGCGAGCUGGGUUUAGAACGUCGUGAGACAGUUCGGUCCCUAUCUGCCGUGGGCGCUGGAGAACUGAGGGGGGCUGCUCCUAGUACGAGAGGACCGGAGUGGACGCAUCACUGGUGUUCGGGUUGUCAUGCCAAUGGCACUGCCCGGUAGCUAAAUGCGGAAGAGAUAAGUGCUGAAAGCAUCUAAGCACGAAACUUGCCCCGAGAUGAGUUCUCCCUGACCCUUUAAGGGUCCUGAAGGAACGUUGAAGACGACGACGUUGAUAGGCCGGGUGUGUAAGCGCAGCGAUGCGUUGAGCUAACCGGUACUAAUGAACCGUGAGGCUUAACCUU
rnacentral:rRNA from 1 species